GACGAACGCUGGCGGCGUGCUUAACACAUGCAAGUCGAACGGAAAGGCCCUGCUUUUGUGGGGCGCUCGAGUGGCGAACGGGUGAGUAACAAGUGAGUAACCUGCCCUUGACUUUGGGAUAAUUUCAGGAAACUGGGGCUAAUACCGGAUAGGAGCUCCUGCUGCUUGGUGGGGGUUGGAAAGUUUCGGCGGUUGGGGAUGGACUCGCGGCUUAUCAGCUUGUGGGUGGGGUAGUGGCUUACCAAGGCUUUGACGGGUAGCCGGCCUGAGAGGGUGACCGGCCACAUUGGGACUGAGAUACGGCCCAGACUCCUACGGGAGGCAGCAGUGGGGAAUAUUGCACAAUGGGCGGAAGCCUGAUGCAGCAACGCCGCGUGCGGGAUGACGGCCUUCGGGUUGUAAACCGCUUUCGCCUGUGACGAGGCGUGAGUGACGGUAAUGGGUAAAGAAGCACCGGCUAACUACGUG
rnacentral:rRNA from 1 species